CCGGGUUCAAGGGCGCGACCGGGGCGCAGCAAAGCCGCCGCGGGGGCUCCCCUUCUUCUUUUUAUUUCAAAGCCUAGAGCAGAACAAAUCGAAAUUUUGUACUGGUGAAGAUAAUCUGCAGUCCACCAGACGGUUAACAAUGCAGGCGUCUUUUAUUUAAACCCAGGUCUUAUCUGUGAAAGUAGUCCUGCCUGAAAA